rfam:Bacteroidales bacterium 36-12 SCNpilot_bf_inoc_scaffold_470, whole genome shotgun sequence.
AACACGAACUUCAUCAGGCAUAACCAACAGGAUGAGACUGCCAAACAAGUCAAAGUCCCAAGAUUACACGGAUGUUACAAUGCAAAUUAUU